UACGUAGGGUGCAAGCGUUAAUCGGAAUUACUGGGCGUAAAGCGUGCGCAGGCGGUUAUGUAAGACAGGUGUGAAAUCCCCGGGCUUAACCUGGGAACUGCAUUUGUGACUGCAUAGCUAGAGUACGGUAGAGGGGGAUGGAAUUCCGCGUGUAGGCAGUGAAAUGCGUAGAUAUGCGGAGGAACACCGAUGGCGAAGGCAAUCCCCUGGACCUGUACUGACGCUCAUGCACGAAAGCUGGGGGAGCAAACAGG
rnacentral:rRNA from 1 species